GCUAACGUAGCUUAAGACAAAGCAUAACACUGAAGAUGUUAAAAUGGGCCCUAGAAAGCCCCGAAAGCA
rnacentral:tRNA from 1 species